GGAGGGAGAACUGCAACAAGAACCUUGCUUGUGAAAGCAGGGUUUGUCUACAGACGUGCAGUCAGUUAUCUUUGCUGCAAGCCAGCUGGGUGGAAGCCAGUUCUUGUUCAAAAGCCAUGUGGCAGAAUUACUGUGAAUAUAAGCUGAAGCUACUGGAUCCCGCCUCUUGGUUCAGGAAGAUGCCAGCUGGUUGGUGUGGUGGCCUCCAAACGGCAGGGCAGGAGAGGCAGAUGUGCUAGGUGUUUCACAUGGAUGAAAAUUUAGCACGUGCUUUUGAAAACCUAUGAUCAACACAUGAGGACACCAAGAUAUACGUUCAGCAGAAAAGGAGAUUGUCACCCACAUGAAAGGACGAACUUUUUAAAUACAACAACAAAAAAAGUAUAGAAUCCUCUGCUGUUUAGGCAAUAAAUUCAACUGUGCAUGUCUCCAUUAUAUCCCUUUUUUGUUGUUAGAGUUUUUUUGUGGUCAAUGAAUAGCAGGCUCAGGGAGGGGAAGGGGCUUCCUGUGCCAAAAUUUUUUUCUCCGUGCAAGUGGAUUGGUAAGACUGCCUUUUCUUAUUUUAAUAUAUUGUACUUCUAGGGCUUUAAAACUGAUCUUUAAAAAAAAAAUAUUAUUGUAGUGAAGCCUUGUAUUUUCAAUGCAUAAAAAUAUUUCCUCAUGUAUGUCAUUAUUAUGCAGAAUAUCAACUGCCUCAGAGUCCUUAAGAAGUAAAACGUUGCAUUACAGAGCUUUCUGAGAUGACAUAGUUCACUGCUGGCAUUAAUGUUUUUAAUAAAUAUGACAAAACAACUUCUCUGAGAAGUGUGUUGUUGGUGAAUCAGCAGUGAGAACUUCAGACUCAUAGGGAAAG